rnacentral:rRNA from 1 species
AGAGUUUGAUCCUGGCUCAGAACAAACGCUGGCGGCGUGUCUUAAGCAUGCAAGUUGAGCGGCAAGGGGGAGCGAUCCCCCCUAGAGCGGCGGACUGGUGAGUAACACGUGGAUGAUCUACCCGAGGCAUGGGGAUAGUCACUAGAAAUAGUGGGUAAUACCGAAUACGGUGCGCAUCGUGAGGGUGCGCAAGAAAGGUGCUACGGCACCGGCCUAGGAUGAGUCUGCGUCCCAUUAGCUGGUUGGUGAGGUAAGAGCCCACCAAGGCGAUGAUGGGUAGCCGGCCUGAGAGGGUGUACGGCCACACUGGGACUGAGAUACGGCCCAGACUCCUACGGGAGGCAGCAGCUAAGAAUAUUCCGCAAUGGACGAAAGUCUGACGGAGCGACGCCGCGUGGAUGAAGAAGGCCGAAAGGUUGUAAAGUUCUUUUGUUGGGGAAGAAUAACCAUGGGAGGGAAUGCCCGUGGGAUGACAUGAACCGACGAAUAAGCCCCGGCUAACUACGUGCCAGCAGCCGCGGUAACACGUAGGGGGCGAGCGUUGUUCGGAAUUACUGGGCGUAAAGGGCAUGUAGGCGGUCUUGUAAGCUUGGCGUGAAAGACCACGGCUCAACCGUGGGAUUGCGUUGAGAACUGCGAGGCUUGAGUGACGGAGAGGGAGCUAGAAUUCCUGGUGUAGGGGUGGAAUCUGUAGAGAUCAGGAAGAAUACCAAUGGCGAAGGCAAGCUCCUGGCCGAUGACUGACGCUGAGGUGCGAAAGUGUGGGGAUCAAACAGGAUUAGAUACCCUGAUAGUCCACACUGUAAACGAUGUGCACUAGGUGCUGGUACGGAUGUAUCAGUGCCGUAGCUAACGUGAUAAGUGCACCGCCUGGGGAGUAUGCUCGCAAGGGUGAAACUCAAAGGAAUUGACGG